rnacentral:snRNA from 1 species
ACAUUAUUCACAAAGUAUAUAAAAUUGGAAUGAUACAGACAAGAUUAGGAUGGCCCCUGAGCAGAGAUGACAUGCAAAUUCAAGAAGCAUUUUAUAAUUUU